CUAUUCUCAACCUUUAAAUAGGUAGGAUGGCGUGGCUGCUUCGUUGAGCCACGCCGCGGAAUCAAGAGCUCCAAGUGGGCCAUUUUUGGUAAGCAGAACUGGCGAUGCAGGAUGAACUGGAGGCCGAGUUAUGGUGCCCAACUGCGUGCUAACCUAGAUUCCACAAAGGGUGUUGGUCGAUUAAGACAGUAGGACGGUGGCCAUGGAAGUCGAAAUCCGCUAAGGAGUGCGUAACAACUCACCUACCGAAUCAACUAGCCUCAAAAAUGGAUGGCGCUAAAGCGCGCGACCUAUACCCGACCAUCGGGGCAAGUGCCAAGCCCUGAUGAGUAGGAGGGCACGACGGUCGCCGUAAAACCUUGGGCGCGAGCUCAGGCCGAGCGACCCUCGGUG
rnacentral:rRNA from 1 species